rnacentral:rRNA from 1 species
UGCCUUAAACAUGCAAGUCGAGCGGACAGAUGGGAGCUUGCUCCCUGAUGUUAGCGGCGGACGGGUGAGUAACACGUGGGUAACCUGCCUGUAAGACUGGGAUAACUCCGGGAAACCGGGGCUAAUACCGGAUGCUUGAUUGAACCGCAUGGUUCAAUUAUAAAAGGUGGCUUUUAGCUACCACUUACAGAUGGACCCGCGGCGCAUUAGCUAGUUGGUGAGGUAACGGCUCACCAAGGCGACGAUGCGUAGCCGACCUGAGAGGGUGAUCGGCCACACUGGGACUGAGACACGGCCCAGACUCCUACGGGAGGCAGCAGUAGGGAAUCUUCCGCAAUGGACGAAAGUCUGACGGAGCAACGCCGCGUGAGUGAUGAAGGUUUUCGGAUCGUAAAACUCUGUUGUUAGGGAAGAACAAGUACCGUUCGAAUAGGGCGGUACCUUGACGGUACCUAACCAGAAAGCCACGGCUAACUACGUGCCAGCAGCCGCGGUAAUACGUAGGUGGCAAGCGUUGUCCGGAAUUAUUGGGCGUAAAGCGCGCGCAGGCGGUUUCUUAAGUCUGAUGUGAAAGCCCCCGGCUCAACCGGGGAGGGUCAUUGGAAACUGGGGAACUUGAGUGCAGAAGAGGAGAGUGGAAUUCCACGUGUAGCGGUGAAAUGCGUAGAGAUGUGGAGGAACACCAGUGGCGAAGGCGACUCUCUGGUCUGUAACUGACGCUGAGGCGCGAAAGCGUGGGGAGCGAACAGGAUUAGAUACCCUGGUAGUCCACGCCGUAAACGAUGAGUGCUAAGUGUUAGAGGGUUUCCGCCCUUUAGUGCUGCAGCAAACUCAUUAAGCACUCCGCCUGGGGAGUACGGUCGCAAGACUGAAACUCAAAGGAAUUGACGGGGGCCCGCACAAACGAUGCAGCAUGUGGUUUAAUUCGAAGCAACGCGAAGAACCUUACCAGGUCUUGACAUCCUCUGACAACCCUAGAAAUAGGGCUUC